CACACAUGACCAAGUAACAUAUAUUGUAUAUAGCACAACUUUCAAAAUAUCAGAAGAGUUGCAUCAGAAUUACAUUGAUCAUGAUGAACAGUCUAGGAAGUUUAAAAUGCAAAAAAAAUUAACUAAGAUAUAAUGGUCCAAGCAUUAUGCAUAAGCUAGAUUGACCAAAACCCCAUGAUUUCACUUUGUUGAACAUCUUGAAGAAAGAUCACUAGACUCGUCACCCUUCAUCACCAUAUGCAUCAUAAUGCUCAUCGCCAAAUAGAUCAUAACAAUCAUCGCCAUAGACAUCAUCACCCUUGCCAUAGAUCACGAUUCUUCAGCACCGUCUCCCAUUCCUAACAAAUGAUUAGACUAGAUGUAAGGGAGAUGAAAAUGACAUACUAUAGUUGAAAUUUAAUUGAGGAUACAAAAAAAGGAACUUAGAUGUUCUAAUUGACUGGUUAGAUAUCUAAUAGUAUGACUACGUACUCACCUUUUGGUCCUUCACAUGCAAUUUUCAGGGUUACAUGAAUCAGCAGGAACGCAACUCCAAAUAAUAGACUGGGUACUACACAUUGCUCUGUGUACAAAAGGAAUAUACCAAUAAACUGCACUAAUGUCAAUUUCAUUAUAAGUUUGCAAUAGUUCAGAACACAUCAUGCUUUUCAAAUUACUUGUAACAUUAAUAUAAUUCGAACCACAUGACAUUUUUUAAUUAACUGUAACAAUCCUAUGUCCAGAACCCGCAUGUACUAUGGUUACACCAAGAUGGCCAUGUGAUACAGGUAAAAAAACUUAUCUGAAAGACACAUAUGUCGUGUCGAUAAUCGAUUCAUUGGCUUGUUGAAGUUGUAAAAUGAUAACCAAGUACAAAUGUACAACAGACAUCUGCAACCCCACUGAAGUAUAUAUACUAGCGCUUACAUUUUGCAGUCUGAUGACACAACAGAAGCAGUACACUAGCAUAACACUAUUGGCUAGUUUGGGCAUACAAUAAACACAAAAAACAGAUUAAGAAUGUCAUGUAAAGAAAGAUAUAAAUAUAGUUUUUCAUUCAAACAAAUUAAAUAGCAGUAGAACACUAAUUUCCACCAACAAUAGUUUAGGUUAUAUUGUGCAUACCAAAUUAAGAAACUUCUUAUGUUUCGUAUGACAGGUCACAAUCAUUCUUCAUGUUAAGCUACCAUUAUUUCUGUAUGCACUUCCAAAAAAAUUCAAUACUGUCCACUUUUUUAGAUAAACAGAGAGGCGCCUCCCUGGUUCCAUUACUAAAAUGAAACCAAGUUUGCUGGACAUUCUCAAAAGCAUCAAGGUCUGGAAAGCUGAAGACCAAAAGAGGCAAAGCUAGUACAGGGAAAAACAAAAGCUAGAAAGGAGGACGCCUGACAAGGGUCAAACAUGCCAGAUCAUAUUGUCUAAUGUUGAAAUAUUUUUCUCUAUGCAAAUGAUUUUACUGUAAUUGAUUAUAGCAACAUCUUUUCCUAUAUGAGUUCAACCAAAUUGUGCCAUCGCACCUUAAUUAAGAUGGAUUUAAUAGAUAGAUAUCUCAGUUAUGAGCCACAUCUGGGAAAAUAGGGCAUAAUCAGGUGCAUACAUCAUAUAUAGUACAACAGUACCACGUAGGCAAUGAGGUAAGCUAAGAAAUCAGGCUCAAAUAAAAAGAGCAUGUCUCAAAGCAUGUUAUCCGCAGCAUGCUCAUGUUGUCCAGAACUAAAUUGGCGCAUAACUAAAUGGGUAAGACAUGAUGUACUAACCUUUUCAGUUAGUCUUGACGAGCAUCAUCUCACCCCCUUUCAAAGCCGCCUUCAGAAUCUGAUGUGGCCUGUAUUUAUCAAACUGUAAGAACCCCUGCUCUACAUCUUUGAGAAAGAACAGACGGGACA
rnacentral:lncRNA from 1 species